GAAUAAAAUUGAAAUAAAAAGAAAAAGAGGAAAAAGGAAAAAAAGUUGAAGGAAAGAAACAGGAAGAAAAAAAAAAUGAUGAAAAACAAGGAAAAGAAGAAAAACGAAGAAAAAGAAAACAAAAUGAAGUAGAGGAAAAGAAGAAAAAGAGGAAAAAGGAAAAAGUUGAAGGAAGGAAGAAACAAAAAGUAAAAAAAGGAUGAUGAAAAACAAGUUAAAGAAGAAAUCGAAGAAAAACGAAGAAAAAAACGAAGAAAAAUAAAGAAAACAAGAAAAGGAAAAUGGAAAAGAAGAAAAAAGCAAGUUAUAGAAAAGGAAAAGAAUAGAAAAAGGAAGGAAUAAAACAAAUAUAAUUACACAAAUAAACAAACAAACACAUAAACAAACACACAAACAAACACACAAACAAACACACCUGUACCUAUGUGUUCCCCGUUUACCUGUGGUGGCGCAGGUCGCCUUAACUCCCCUCCGCCAGGUGUCACCCCGGAGCACACCCUGACGUCACACCCAGGGGAGGACGGAACACCGGGGUCAUGACCUUAGUGAACCCGUAAACGUGACUAAGAGCCGAUUCCACAGUCCACCACAGUGUCUUCGUAACAGCCCGAACCAAACUAUAGAAUCCCAUACAAUCCAAAAUGGGGAGGUCUUCGAUGCCGCACUAAAUACACAAGACUUUCCCUGUAUAGUUUCAUCAAAUUUGUGAACUUCAAUAUAAACACCAGACACUAUACAAGGAAAUUUCGAAGGCUCUGGUAUUGGUUUGGGAGCUUACUAACCCAUCGUGGGGAACUGUGAAACUGGCACUAAGACCAGUGUGACGGAGACGGGCACUGAGGCCACGGGUACCUCUAACUCAGGCCCUCAAUACAGACAGGUUCUUUUAUCAGUAUGGCAGUGUUACAGAGGUGAGCACUGAGGCCACUUGUAGCUCUAACUUGGGCCCUCAAUACAGACAGGUCUUUUAGUAGUGUGACGGAGGUGAGCAGCGAGGCCAUGCGUAGCUUUAGCGUAUGCCCACAACUUUACCCGUAGCCAGACUUGAACCCUGAGACCUUGGCUGAGUGGUCGGUGUGCCGGGACAGGACAGCAUGUGGGUAGUUUUAAGCCACUCGGCGGUGACUGAAAAAUCCCAGGUGGUAGCGUGGGGACUCGAACUCGCGUCGUCCAUCACGCGGUGAAUGUGGGCCCAGCACGCUACCACUCAGACACCGCCUUCCCAAACAUGCAACCUCCUCCAAAGCCUUAAAAUGUUAUGAGAGUGUGAACCUUAGAACCUUGAAUGUAAAACGGAUCUCAAGCUUGCAAGAUUGUGACGCGAGUGUGACGUUCUCCCAAGGGUGUGACGCAAGGGUGAUGUCCGAGGGUGUGACCAAUGAUGUCUCCCUCCUUAAUAUCUGUUAGCAGGAUCUAGCAAGGUGUUAAUUAGUGUGUGUGUGUGUGUGUGUGUGUGUGUGUGUGUGUGUGUGUGUGUGUGUGUGUGUGUGUUUGUAAGUUAGCAAAGCAGGAUCUCCUAUUUCUGAAACCAUGCUAGUAAAAAAUCGUGUGUGUGUGUGUGUGUGUGUGUGUGUGUUUUUGUCUUCCUGUACAGAGUGUUGGUGUCACGCUGUCUGUCUGUCUGUUUGUCUCUCUGUCUGUCUGUCUGUCUGUCACGUCCUGUACCUAAUCUAUCCUGGUCUUCAAGUGAUUUAAAAGGGAAUAAUAAUAGUAAUAAUAAUAAUAGUAAUAAUAGUGAUAGGAAGGAUAGUAGGAAGAAUUGAAGAAGUGGAAGAGAAAAAGAUGAAGGGAAUUUUUGUAUGUAUGUAGGAGGAAGAAGAAGCAAAAGAAGAUGGAAAGAAACAGAGGAAAAAAGACGUAGAGGAUAUAAUGGAGGAAAAGAAGAAGAAAUAGAAGAAAAGAAAGAAAAGAAAGGAAGGAAGGAAGAAAGGUCGAUAGAAAAUGAAAAAAAUACAGAAUUAAAAAAAAAUAUGAUGGAGGAGAAGAAGGAAAAGAAACAGAAGAAAGAAAGAAAGAAAGGAAAGAAAAAAAACGAAGUAAGAAAAGAGAAUGGAGGAGAAGGAAAAGAAACAGAAGAAAGAAAGAAAGAAGAAAGAAAGAAAGAAAGGAAGAAAGAAGAAAAUAAAAGAGAAAACAAGGAGAAGGAGGAGGAGGAAGUAUACUUUUCCCUAUGCCUUGUUGUGUGUCCUGAGGUUCUUGUCGAAGGGGAGUGAAGAAUCGACGAAGAAGAAGAAGAAGAAAGAAGGAGAUGGAGAAAUUGGAAAAAUGACACGGAAAAGAAUAAAGAAGAAUGCUGUUUUGUUGAUGAAUGAGGAGGAGGAGAAAAAGAAGAGGAGGAGGGAGAGGAGAGAAAAGGAAGAAGGGUGAAAAACGGAGAUAAAAGUGAAGAAUUUGACGAUGGAAGACGAAUAAGGCGUUAAAGAAAUGAAGAAGAAGAAGAAGAAGAAGAAGAAGAAGAAGAGCAGGAAGAGGAGGAAGAAGAGAGAGAAGAAGGGUGAAAACGUAGAUAAAAGUGAAGAAUUAACGAAGGAAAACGAAUAAGUUGAUGAAUGAAUAAAAAAAAACGAAAAAGAAUGAAGAAGAAUUAUAUUUUGUUCUGGUAACACUGCAAAGAAGGAAACUGGAGAGGGGAAGGUAUGCUGUUUGUUCUGGUAACACUGCAAGGAAGGAAACUGGAAUGGAAUGAAAAGUUAACGAAGAAAACAUUAGAAGGUAUUGAAGGAAUGAAAAAUGAGUGAAAAAUAAUGAAGGUAUGAUAUUUAUUCUGGUAACACUGCAAAGGAAGGAAACUGGAAAGGGAUGAAAAGUUGACGAAAAAAAACACACUAGAUGGUGAGAAAGGAAGGAAAAACGAGGAAAAAAGAAUUGAGAAGGUAUGCUGUUUGUUCUGGUAACACUGCAAAGAAGGAAACUUGAAAGGAAUGCAAAUUUUGACGAGGAAAACAUUGAAGGAGAUGAAGGAAUGGAAAUUAAACGAAAGGAAAUAAGAAAAGAAAGCGUGCUAGUGUGUGCUGGAAGAAUUGAAGAGAAGGAAAAUGGAGAGGAAUGAAAAAUUUGACGAAGAAAAGAAAGAAGAAGAUGAAGGAAUGUAAAAUGAGUGAACUAGGAUGAAGAAGGAGAGGAAGGAAGGAAGGAAGAAAGGUCGAAUGAAAAGGAAAAAUAGGGAGAACAAGAAUCAAAGCAAUAUGAUGGAGGGGAAGAAGGAAAAGGAACAGGAGAAAGAAAGAAGGAAAAGCGACAAGAAAGAAAGGAAGAGAGAAAGGAAGAAAGAAAAUAUAAAGAGGAAGAAAGAAGAAAGGAGAAGAAUGAAGAGGAACAAAAGAAAGAAAGAUGGGAAAGAGACAGAAUAAAGAAAGAAAGGAAGAAAAUAUAAAAAGCAAGAAGUAAAAAAUAUAAGAAAAGAGAAAAACAUAGAGAAUAAGGAGAAAGUAUUUGUUGUUGAAAGAAAUGAAGGUUUAAGGAAAAAAAUCAUAUCAUUAUGCAGUAUUUUCUUAAAUCAUUGUAUUUUUGUAUAAAGUUUUGACGUGAAAAUUUUAAGAUUGUGAUAGAGUUUAAUGAUAUUGUUUUGUUUUUGUUAAUCUGAGAAGUGAUUAUAUUGGAAAAAUGGUAAGAUUGUGGUAGAGUUUAAUGACAUUGUUUUAUUUUUGUUAAGCUGAAAGGUUCUUAAAUUGGAAAAAUUGUAAGAUUGUGGUAGAGUUUAAUGAUAUUGUUUUAUUUUUGUUAAGCUGAGAAGUGAUUAUAAUGGAAAAAUAGUUAAGAUUGUGGUAGAGUUUAAUGAUAUUGUUUUAUUUUUGUUAAGCUGAAAGGUUCUUAAAUUGGAAAAAUGGUUAAGAUUGUGGUAGAGUUUGAUGAAAUUGUUUUAUUUUUGUUACGCUGAAAGGUUCUUAAAUUGGAAAAAUGCUAAAGAUUGUGAUAGACUUUAUUGAUAUUGUUUUAUUUUUGUUAGGCUGAGAGGUGAUAAAAUUGGAAAAAUGGUAAGAUUGUGAUAGAGUUUAAUGCCAUUGUUUUAUUUUUGUUAGACUGAAAGGUUCUUAAAUUGGAAAAAUGGUAAGAUUGUGAUAGAGUUUAAUGAUAUUGUUUUAUUUUUGUUAAGCUGAGAAGUGAUUAAAUUGGAAAAAUGGUAAGAUUGUAAUAGAGUUUAAUGAUAUUGUUUUAUUUUUGUUAAGCUGAGA